rnacentral:rRNA from 1 species
GACGAACGCUGGCGGCGUGCCUAAUACAUGCAAGUCGAACGCAGUGGGGACGGGUGAGUAACACGUGGGUAACCUCCCAUCAGAGGGGAUAACACUUGGAAACAGGUGCUAAACCGAUACUGAUGGAUGGACCCGCGGUGCAUUAGCUAGUUGGUGAGGUAACGGCUCACCAAGGCCACGAUGCAUAGCCGACCGGGGAGGGGGUUGGGCCACACUGGGCAUGAGACAGGGCCCAUACUCCAAGGGGAGGAAGGAGUAGGGAUUCUUCGGCAAUGGACGAAAGUCUGACCGGGCAACGCCGCGUGAGUGAAGAAGGUUUUCGGAUCGUAAAACUCUGUUGUUAGAGAAGCGGUAUCUAACCAGAAAGCCACGGCUAACUACGUGCCAGCAGCCGCGGUAAUC